CUUUACUGGAUUCUCUCCUUCAAAUUGGAGUGACGCAGGGAAGGCAAUUUAUGGAUUCGUGGUCUUCUGUUUUCAGGGCCCAUGGUCUCCUGUAAAUUGCUAAAGCCUUUCUCAAGUAUGAUGAAACAGCGCCACCGUGUGGUCUCGAGGCUUACCACGCUUCACUCAUUUGCCUUUGGAUUUUUAUGCAACAUUGGUCAAUAAGUAUCAGAAGGUCCACUGGGAUUGCAUCUGGCUCACGAAGUGUAAACCCCAUGUACUGUAAAGAGAAGAUCAAGGGCAGCGUUGGCACUAAGUGGUUGUUCAAAAGGUUCCAACUGUUCUACGUUUUCAAAAACAGAAUGUCCAGGCUUUCAUUGUACUCUACAGAGCAUUGGGGGAGAGGAAAAUUGAAGGUGGCAGAAAGGGCUCAAGUGGCCUCUAUAAGAAAGAUAAUUUGGAGAUCUGGUGAACGGAAAGCAAGAAUAUGGGUGGUUGGAAGAAGUUGUAGCCCAGUUACCAGGAGGGCCUACCAGAUAUCAAGACUUAUUAUAAAGCCAGAGUAAUUGCAAUGGUGUGGUUUUGGUGCAGAGAAAGACACACUGAUCAACGCAACAGCAUAGAGGGCCCAGCAAUAUCUCACACACAUGAGGCAAUCUGAUACAAGGAAGAGGUGGCAUUGCAGAUGACUAAGGAGGUGAGUGAGUGAGUGUGUCUCUCAUUAAAUAUGUUGAUUGAGAUAAUGGGCUAUCCACAUGGGAAAAAAAA
rnacentral:lncRNA from 1 species